CGGGGCGUAGCGCAGCCUGGUAGCGCACCGGCUUUGGGUGCCGGGGGUCGCCGGUUCGAAUCCGGCCGCCCCGA
rfam:Patulibacter medicamentivorans strain I11 contig244, whole genome shotgun sequence.